rnacentral:rRNA from 1 species
CCUACGGGAGGCAGCAGUGGGGAAUAUUGGACAAUGGGCGAAAGCCUGAUCCAGCCAUGCCGCGUGUGUGAAGAAGGCCUUCGGGUUGUAAAGCACUUUCAGUGGGGAAGAAAGCCUUGGGGCUAAUACCCUCGAGGAAGGACAUCACCCACAGAAGAAGCACCGGCUAACUCCGUGCCAGCAGCCGCGGUAAUACGGAGGGUGCGAGCGUUAAUCGGAAUUACUGGGCGUAAAGCGCGCGUAGGCGGUCUGAUAAGCCGGUUGUGAAAGCCCCGGGCUCAACCUGGGAACGGCAUCCGGAACGGUCAGGCUAGAGUGCAGGAGAGGAAGGUAGAAUUCCCGGUGUAGCGGUGAAAUGCGUAGAGAUCGGGAGGAAUACCAGUGGCGAAGGCGGCCUUCUGGACUGACACUGACGCUGAGGUGCGAAAGCGUGGGUAGCAAACAGGAUUAGAUACCCUGGUAGUC